GACGAACGCUGGCGGCGUGCUUAACACAUGCAAGUCGAACGGUGAAGCGCCUUCCUUUUUGGUGGGUGUGGAUGAGUGGCGAACGGGUGAGUAACACGUGAGUAACCUGCCCCCUUCUUCUGGAUAACCGCAUGAAAGUGUGGCUAAUACGGGAUAUUCUGGGUCUGUCGCAUGAUGGGUCUGGGAAAGAUAUUGUUUCGGUGGGGGAUGGGCUCGCGGCCUAUCAGCUUGUUGGUGGGGUGAUGGCCUACCAAGGCGGUGACGGGUAGCCGGCCUGAGAGGGUGGACGGUCACACUGGGACUGAGACACGGCCCAGACUCCGACGGGAGGCAGCAGUGGGGAAUAUUGCACAGUGGGCGCAAGCCUGAUGCAGCGACGCCGCGUGAGGGAUGGAGGCCUUCGGGUUGUGAACCUCUUUCGCCAGUGAAGCAGGCCUGCCUCGUUUGUGGGUGGGUUGACGGUAGCUGGAGAAGAAGCGCCGGCUAACUACGUG
rnacentral:rRNA from 1 species